rnacentral:rRNA from 1 species
UACGAAGGGUGCAAGCGUUACUCGGAAUUACUGGGCGUAAAGCGUGCGUAGGUGGUUGUUUAAGUCUGUUGUGAAAGCCCUGGGCUCAACCUGGGAAUUGCAGUGGACACUGGGCGACUAGAGUGUGGUAGAGGGUAGUGGAAUUCCCGGUGUAGCAGUGAAAUGCGUAGAGAUCGGGAGGAACAUCCAUGGCGAAGGCAGCUACCUGGACCAACACUGACACUGAGGCACGAAAGCGUGGGGAGCAAACAGG